rnacentral:rRNA from 1 species
AGUGAACGCUGGCGGUAGGCCUAACACAUGCAAGUCGAACGGCAGCACAGUAAGAGCUUGCUCUUACGGGUGGCGAGUGGCGGACGGGUGAGGAAUACAUCGGAAUCUACUUUUUCGUGGGGGAUAACGUAGGGAAACUUACGCUAAUACCGCAUACGACCUACGGGUGAAAGCAGGGGAUCUUCGGACCUUGCGCGAUUGAAUGAGCCGAUGUCGGAUUAGCUAGUUGGCGGGGUAAAGGCCCACCAAGGCGACGAUCCGUAGCUGGUCUGAGAGGAUGAGCAGCGACACUGGAACUGAGACACCGUCCAGGCUCCUACGGGAGGCAGCAGUGGGGAAUAUUGGACAAUGGUCGCAAGCCUGAUCCAGCCGUACCGCGUGGGUGAAGAAGACCUUCGGUUUGUAAAGCCCUUUUGUUGGGAAAGAAAAGCAGCAGGUUAAUACCCCGCUGUUCUGACGGUACCCAAUGAAUAAGCACCGGCUAACUUCGUG